rnacentral:misc_RNA from 1 species
GACGAACCGUGCGAACGUUAUUCGGAAUCACUGGGCUUAAAGAGCACGUAGGCGGCAUCGUAAGUUGGAGGUGAAAUCCCGACGGCUCAACCGCGGAACUGCCCCCAAUACUGCGAUGCUCGAGGGAGACAGGGGCACAUGGAACUUCCAGUGGAGCGGUGAAAUGUGUUGAGAUUGGAAGGAACGCCGGUGGCGAAGGCGAUGUGCUGGAUCUCUUCUGACGCUGAGGUGCGAAAGCUAGGGGAGCGAACGGG